UUGGUGCUGGACACUAUUGUGCGAGUUGGGCUCCCUUUUCAUGCAGGGUAAUUUCUAGAAGGUUGUGUCUACUCUUCACGGAGGACACAGGCUUCUGCAUGGAGUUUUAACAUUUGUGAUCACCUCAUUGUGACCUGAGCUGCUGGGCUGCAUUGCAACGGAACAUUCACCUUUUUGCCCUCAUGUGUCAAUGAGCUGUGGACAGUUGAGCAUAUUGAAAAGCUAUCCCUGUACAAGGCCGGAUCCACACUGAUGCUUUGCCCCUUCUUGCCAAGGGACCACAUUGGGAGACACUGUCUUGGUGUGUACUAGUCUAUAACUACAACACGGUGUGAUAUUUUGUAGUGGUAUCUAAAGACCUUAAGUGUGUAGUGCUUGCUGCAACAGGACACGUGUGACAUUUUGUAGUGGAAUCUGAAGAUCUUGAGUGUGUAGUGCUUGCUGUGUUGCAUGCUUCGUCUGGUGUUGGG